AUGAGGGCUGGGGUGGGGAGAGCCAGAGGAAUGACCGGGUGGGAGAGUGGAAGCCUAAAAACGGCUUUCUUCUCACAACAGUGCGGAAUCUGGAAUGCCGUCUGCCCUGACCUUGAGCCUGGCCCUACCUACCCCCUUGCCCACAUGUGUCACACCUCUCAGCAGGCUGCUGAUUUGUCCUGGCCGCGCGGGAGUGCGCUUUGCCACAACAUGCCCAGCCCACUGACCCGCGUGCCAUUCCCGCCCUACCAGUACCAGAGAUGCUUUUCCAGGUCUCCUCUGUCCCAGUGUGCCUCCUGCCCUCUCGCUGCCUCACUGGCCCCUCUCUGGGAGUGCUCACCAUGCCUGCUUUGUUCUGAGCUCAGGAGGAGUCCCUGCCCUCUAGGGACGCAGGACACCUGAUCCUCUGUCGAUGUAAAGGCAGCUGCUCGAGACUCAUGACCAGCCACCAGGAUCCAGGAUGUCAACGGUGGGGAAAAAGCGUGAGUAGGUGCGCAAAGACUCCCCUUCUCUGGCUUACAGAAAAGCGGACUCAUAACUGCAGCUUCGGACAUGUGCUCUGAAAACAGCAGGGAGUCCCGUCUUCCAGUGGGUGGUUCUCCAAGGUUGUUGCCCACUGGACAACCAAAACUAACACAGGCACAGCCAAGACCUCAGGCACCGGUGUGACGAGACGGCAUGAAUUAGUCAGGUUGACAUGUAUCUCAGAGCUGGUCUUGUUGUCACCCUAUGGGACUUGAGAACUUGCAGCCAAGCCCUCACUGCUCAGGGAACUGGCGUGUGAAGGAGGGUGAGGAUGAGGGACUGGCAGGCAAGGCUUUUGGUAGAGCUAUGGUAGAGUUUGCGUGGACACAUUCUGAUUCGCACUGCGUCUGGGUGGGAGUUCUGUGAACAUCACAGAUGGAGAGAAAACCCUAGAUUGGGCAGCAGCCUGGAAUGGAUGGCUUGAGGAAGCCAGUGCAUCUGACCUGUACCUUCUAGGAAUGAGGCUCCUCUGUGCUUUCGGGGGAGGGGGUCAAGGACUCAGAACCCUCUGGUGAGCCCACUUUGUUAGGAGAGCAUGGUUAGACUCUUUUGUAGUACUCUCCCUCAUCCAGUCUGUCACCAAGCCUAUGAAAAUUCCAUUCUCAUAGCCAGGGGCUGCUGCCCAGGGCAUCUUUCCCAGUUCCCUUAAAGAUAGGGAUGGCAUAUCAGGUAGUACAUGGGCCCAGUGCACAGCACCAAGCACCACCUCCCCAGUCCCUGAGGGUUUAUGGAAUGAUUCACACUCUCACUCAGAGUCCAGGCGGCUCUGGCAGCCCAGAGGUCUCCACAGCAGGGGAGGCCGCUGAACUGCAUACAGGAGAGAUCGCGCAGUGGGUACGAUCAUUACCCACACCUAAAACCCGACAUGACUAAUUCA
rnacentral:lncRNA from 1 species